AAUCAACGCUGGCGGCGCGCUUAACACAUGCAAGUCGCACGAGAAAGUGGAGCAAUCCAUGAGUACAGUGGCGUACGGGUGAGUAACACGUGGGUAAUCUACCUCUUAGUGGGGAAUAACUCUGGGAAACCGGAGCUAAUACCGCAUAAGCCUGGAAAGGGAAAGCAAUCAAAUGCGCUGAGAGAGGAGCCCGCGGCCGAUUAGCUAGUUGGUAGGGUAAAAGCCUACCAAGGCAAUGAUCGGUAGCCGGCCUGAGAGGGCACACGGCCACACUGGCACUGAAACACGGGCCAGACUCCUACGGGAGGCAGCAGUGGGGAAUCUUGCACAAUGGGGGCAACCCUGAUGCAGCGACGCCGCGUGAGCGAUGAAGCCCUUCGGGUGUAAAGCUCUUUCGGCAGGAACGAUAAUGACGGUACCUGAAGAAGAAG
rnacentral:rRNA from 1 species